rnacentral:rRNA from 1 species
GAUGAACGCUGGCGGCGUGCCUAAUACAUGCAAGUCGAGCGAACAGACGAGGAGCUUGCUCCUCUGAUGUUAGCGGCGGACGGGUGAGUAACACGUGGAUAACCUACCUAUAAGACUGGGAUAACUUCGGGAAACCGGAGCUAAUACCGGAUAACAUGUUGAACCGCAUGGUUCAACAGUGAAAGACGGUCUUGCUGCCACUAAUAGAUGUAUCCGCGCCGCAUUAGCUAGUUGGUAAGGUAACGGCUUACCAAGGCAACGAUGCGUAGCCGACCUGAGAGGGGGAUCGGCCACUCUGGAACGGAGACACGGUCCAGACUCCUACGGAGGGCAGCAGUAGGGAAUCUUCCGCAAUGGGCGAAGGCCUGACGGGGCAACGCCGCGUGAGUGAAGAAGGUCUUCGGAUCGUAAAACUCUGUUAUUAGGGAAGAACAAAUGUGUAAGUAACUAUGCACGUCUUGACGGUACCUAAUCAGAAAGCCACGGCUAACUACGUG